UUUGAUCCUGGCUCAGAUUGAACGCUGGCGGCAUGCCUUACACAUGCAAGUCGAACGGUAACGCGGGGCAACCUGGCGACGAGUGGCGAACGGGUGAGUAAUGCAUCGGAACGUGCCCAGUAGUGGGGGAUAGCCCGGCGAAAGCCGGAUUAAUACCGCAUACGACCUACGGGUGAAAGGGGGGGAUCGCAAGACCUCUCGCUAUUGGAGCGGCCGAUGUCAGAUUAGGUAGUUGGUGGGGUAAAGGCCUACCAAGCCGACGAUCUGUAGCUGGUCUGAGAGGACGACCAGCCACACUGGGACUGAGACACGGCCCAGACUCCUACGGGAGGCAGCAGUGGGGAAUUUUGGACAAUGGGCGCAAGCCUGAUCCAGCCAUGCCGCGUGCGGGAAGAAGGCCUUCGGGUUGUAAACCGCUUUUGUCAGGGAAGAAAUCUUCUGGGUUAAUACCUCGGGAGGAUGACGGUACCUGAAGAAUAAGCACCGGCUAACUACGUGCCAGCAGCCGCGGUAAUAC
rnacentral:rRNA from 1 species